AAAAAAUAUGGCGAUUAAGAAACACUUAAUGUCAACAAGAUUGUCUGAUUGACAAGAGGAAAGGUCAAACAGGAACUUCAAUUGUGAACAUUGCAGAGAACACACUCAGAAGAAGAUGACCCUCCGAAAAAGGACAAUUAAUGAAUAAAAAGGACAGAAGCAGAACCGAAGGAGAUGCAUGAAAUGAGGAAUAAUUUAAAGAUUGCCUGAGCAUAACCACUGCUACUGGAUAAACAUAUGGCAAUAUAAAAGAGCAGGGUCAAUGGAGGUAUCAUACAGUAUAGGCCAUGAAAGACCCUGAAGAAGAAAGUAUAGAACAGAAACAAAAAUAAAACCAUUUUGACAUUUAUUGUAAUAUAGGACCCAAGCCUUAUAUGUAAAAUUUUGGCUUGUAAUGACUUUUCUCUUGCUCUAAGACUUAUAACAGUGAUUAUUUGAUUUAAUAUCUUUAUCCCGAUUUGUCGAAAAGAUUUGGACAUAGUGCAUCAAUUAUUUUAAAGUUUUGAUACAACAAAUUCAUUCAUUGUGCUUGUAACUGAGUUUCCUGGUGCAACACUGUUUUAUUGGCUUCAAAACUAAGUUUGUGAUUUCCAAACCAGAUUAAUGAGAUACAUGUAAUAUCUUUUAACAUCGGUGACUAUUAAAUCCAUUCUUUUA